GGUCGCGUGAUCUAGUUGGUUAUGAUGCUGCCUUGACGUGACAGCUUAAAUGUCCCCAGUUCAAGUCUGGGCGCGACCACCA
rnacentral:tRNA from 1 species